GGGGAAUAUUGCACAAUGGGCGAAAGCCUGAUGCAGCGACGCCGCGUGAGUGAAGAAGUAUUUCGGUAUGUAAAGCUCUAUCAGCAAGGAAGAUAAUGACGGUACUUGACUAAGAAGCCCCGGCUAACUACGUGCCAGCAGCCGCGGUAAUACGUAGGGGGCAAGCGUUAUCCGGAUUUACUGGGUGUAAAGGGAGUGUAGGUGGCAUGGCAAGUCAGAAGUGAAAGCCCGGGGCUCAACCCCGGGACUGCUUUUGAAACUGCCGCGCUAGAGUGCAGGAGAGGUAAGUGGAAUUCCUAGUGUAGCGGUGAAAUGCGUAGAUAUUAGGAGGAACACCAGUGGCGAAGGCGGCUUACUGGACUGUAACUGACACUGAGGCUCGAAAGCGUGGGGAGCAAAC
rnacentral:rRNA from 1 species